AUACCUUUCUCGGCCUUUUGGCUAAGAUCAAGUGUAGUAUCUGUUCUUAUCAGUUUAAUAUCUGAUACGUGGGCCAUUGGUCCACAUGAUAUUAAAUUAAUUUUUUUAGGGGGAGAGCCCAUAACGGUAGCUUGCUACUGGGGAUCUCAGGUGUCGCCCAUGCGUUGCACUAUAGCUUGGGCCUGGCGCAACCCAC
rnacentral:snRNA from 2 species